UCAAAGGAGGUCAAAGAGGAAGACUUUUUCCUAGGCUUUACUUGGCUUUACUUGGCUCGCCCCUUCUAAUUCAUUACAUUGUGAAAUAUUUGGAAUUUUUGCAGUCUUUUGAAAGGGAAAAAGACCACUGCGCAGAGUGAAAAGACUUAUUUCCUCCCUGAGACCCACAGAGAAGGCUGCUAACAACUAAGCCCUGUCAUCCUCCGUUCUCAAGUGAGUUGGUGACUUCACUAGCCCGCUAUGGACUUCCUCACCUUCCUUUCCAACCACCCUGAGAAGCAACCUGGUAUCGUGAGAGCAGCUCUGGAUUAGAAGGCACUGAGAUUCAGCCCUGCCAUGAGGACAGUGUUCUGGCUUGACCAUGUAGAGACAAGAAAACCCCCCAACCCAACUUGGAGGAGGAGCUGAUGAUGGAAGCAUGACGUCUACUCAAGAAUGAGGAAGAAAGUGGUCUUUUCCCCCUCUUCACUUUUCCCUUUGAUUAUGAAACUGUAGCCCUCUAAGUUCUCGGG